rnacentral:tRNA from 1 species
AUUUAAAUAGUUUAUGAUAAAAUAAGAGUUUGUGGGACUUUAGAAAUUUAUUGAUUUUAAAUA